AUCCGGCUGAUGAGUCCCAAAUAGGAGGAAACUCGCAUCCUGGAU
rnacentral:hammerhead_ribozyme from 1 species